AUCUGAUCUCAAAGGGCGAAUGUCGCGGUUGUAGCCCAGUGUUUUCCUUUGCCCUUUCCAACCUCUCCUUCCCAGAAAUCUCUCCAUCUCUCUUAUCUGUCUUCCUGUCGACGAUCGUGGCGGGAAGGUACUGGAUCCGAUUAUCUUGAUUUUACACUUAUGCCCCCCCUGGUUCUCAUUUGACGCGUAAACUCCGAACUUAUCCAUCUCCUCGAUUGGACACGCCUUCCAACCCAAGCAACCGGAAAUUGAAGACAGAUCCGAAAAACAGAGAGAGAGAGAGAGAGAGAGAGAGUCAGAAAGUCAGAGAAAACAGAUACAAAAGCAUUUCUAUUCUAUCAUAUUAUAAUUUGAAUCUCAUUCACGGCAGUCGCAGUAAAAAGAGAAAACAACUAUUUAUGAGUUUUGCGGAUGGAUGAAUGAACUCGCCUUUAUAAAUACACACACCGAACCCCUCUUUUGUCUCUCCUCUCUCAAUAUAUAUAGAAGGUCUCUACCCGUCCGGUUGUUCGGCUGCGCGUCUGCUCUUUCUUUUCCGCUUGAUUUCUCUGCCGCCGUCCAUUUUUCCACCCUGAACUCCCUCCUUCUUAUGAAGUUCCUUUGCGAUCUCUCCCUCUCCCACUCCAUCUUUGUCAUUCUCGGUUCUCCUCCUUCCUUCUCAUGGAUUCGAGUGAACUCUUCUGAAUUGGUUGGGAAAUUCGGCGUACAGAGUCUUGUUGAUGGGGAAUAGUGAUGAUGGGAAAUGCUUUUUCCCCCUCACAAGUUUGCAAAUUGGUGACUUGCAGUCUUAUCUUUCCGAUCUUAGCCUUUUUCUGGCUAGUGAAAGCAAGAAGUUGUAUAUCUUGGUGGACAAUCGACCAUGGUUGAAAGACCCAGGCUCGAGACGAGCCCAGUUAUGGCAAUUGAUGGUUACCAAGUCAAGGUUAUCUCCUUUUGCAAACACUAAAGCACGGAGGGAGAGAAAGGUAGAAAAGGAGUCUUGUUGCGGAUCGAACACUAGAAAAUCAGACAAGCUCCAGAAAUGGUUCUCAUUGGUUGAUGCGGUAACGUUGUCCCACAAGAGGGUUCUGCUACCUGUAAAAAAACUUCGCAAUUCUUCUCUUUUUAGCAGCGAGUUGCAUAGUACCUUGUAUGGCUUUAUUGUAUUUGAAGUUUCAUGGAGCAAUGUUCGAGGCAUCAACUACUUGAAUGAGCUUCAGACUGAUACAUGUCUGGCUAUAGAGGCCAAAGUUAUGCAAAGAUGGGAAUUUGAUACUAUAGCUCAAGCUGCAAGCUCUAUAUCUUCAUGGUUCUUGGGAACGCCCUCUGAAAAGAAACUCUUGAAAGAGUAUCUUGAUUCUGCUAUAGGAGAAGUAUUUUAUGACGCUGAAGAAUAUUUCUCAAGAGGUAUCCCUAUUGAUGAUAAUGAAAUUGCCUGCCCUGAUGAUCCAUAUGUUGAGGAUAAUGGUUUCCACCACCUUGGUGGCAAUUUUAGUUUAUAUUCUGCUACUGAUGAAAAUACAAGUGCGUUUCACACGCCGCCUCCACCCACUGGGCCUUAUAAGAGAAGAAAAGUAAUGAAGUCCAUUAGUACAGGAGUUGAAGAUAAUACAUACUCUGAGAAAAUACAAGGAGAAAUUGACAACUCAUUAGAAAACUCUGAAACUUGUUCUAGCGAUUACGAAGAUCCAGUUGAAGCUACCCAUUACAGUGAUGUCUUGAUUUUGUUUCGGUUCAAUGACCGUGAUCUCCCGUUUAAAUUAGGGCAAAUAAUAAUGCCUGAUUUGCGGUUACUUACCUUGUUAGAGGCUGGGCUUCCAUCCUGGGUUAUUUUCCUUCAGUCAUACCCAGGUUUUUGCCAUCUUUAUCGCCCAUGGAUGUGCCCUUUGGCAAGAGUCUUAUAUGUUAUGAUGUCAGUUGUCACUGUUCUUAUAGGAUUUUAUGAUUUAUACAAAAAUGUCCCAGUACUUAAGGCAACUGCUUUUCGUUUGUGUGGGCCUCUGUUGGAUUGGAUAGAGACUUGGGAGAUGGUGUCAAGGAUCAAGUACUUGGGAACAAUGCUAUUCCUACAUAAUUUUCAGAAGGCUGUUCAGUGGUUUCUUACAAUUACACGUGCUGCCCGGUCCUUCCUUUCAGUUUUUACCCAGCCACUGCUACAGCCACUUUUGGAAUUUUUUAGGUUUUUUGUUCCAGUCUGGAAUGAACUUAUCAAAGUGGUGGAGAGCUUCUCUUCAGUCCUUUGGAUAGUGAUUGGGUCCCUUUUCAGUAUAGUGGAGUAUGUCUUUGAGAUCUUACUAUUGCCAAUGUGGUUUGGCCUGAGAGUUAUCUGGAGCAUUGCAACAUCCAUUUUAUAUCCUAUAUUUUGGAUCCUUUGGGAACUGGUCUAUGCUCCGGUUCGCAUGGUCCUUGCGUUAGCCAGUUUCAUGGUUUUUGUUUCUACCAGCAUAUAUGGGAUGCUUGGAGAAAUGUGGCAGUUUUUUAGUAGCAUCUUUCAGCUUGCUUCAGCUUCUGAGGCAACAGUGAGAACAUAUGAAGUUUCCAUUUGGCGUUCGCUUUGGAAUGAUCUCUUUUCCCAGGUUGUAAGAAAGUCUUCCGAGCUCUAAGGAGUAUAUUAAAUGGUUUUGUUGCCUUCUUCACAGCCUGCAACAGGCAUCGGCUUAGGUAUACUUAAUUAGUUAUUCUACUUUCGAAUCACAUAAGAAUUACUUGUUUGAUUUCAAACUUCUUCAUAUCCUAUGAUACACAUUUGUAUAGAUUCUUGGCCAAUUACAACAUCUAGUUGGAUCGUUACGUGAUUAUGAUCAUGGCAACUGAAAUGUAUGGUGUAAAACAAUUGCUGUAAUGAGUUUUUUUUUUGUUUUUUAAGUUCAGAAACCAGAUAUUCUAUACAUGCUUAUAGCAUGCUUGUUAGGAAAUCUAAAGCUAUAGGCAAAAAUGUUAAAGUAAUAAAUCAUCUAGGUGGUGGUUGUUCUGAUAUGAUCAAAUGGCUGAGGUACCUCAGGCCGUGGUUCCUGCCCAGGCUUCUCCAGCUAGCUCUUUCCCCGUCCCGCUGGGUGACAGGAGGGUAGUCCAGAUCCUUACGCGGGCCCAGGAGAGGCUUUCGCUGCACUUCUAUGGGGCUCUCUUGAACUCCACUCCCAGAGAGUCCAUGGUUUGCAUUCGCGGCCCACCUCCUUAGUCACUUUGUGUGAUGUUUGUGUUCAUAAUGUUAUCAGUGAAAAGAACCCGUACAUGGUCAUGGAAUUCUUUGAAAAUAUCUGUACAAAGUCAGUCUACACUGCUUCUACAGAAGAUGAAGGGAAAAAUUGUAGAUUGACACAAUUACGGGUAAGGCUGAUGGAAUUGUUGAAAAUUACUUUGCAUGGAGACAGUUCGACCAGUGAGAAUACUUUCGACUGAUGCUUCUGAUUCACAUCUUUAUAGUUUCCCUUCAAAUUCUUGUAUUAAGUACUUUGGAUUUUUGCACUUUUUUAAGGUCUUUACUGUGUUGCCAGUUUUGGCCGAGGUUUCUAAUGGACGCUCCCAUAGCUCUUUCAUAUUUGGGUUUGAGCUUUCACAAACUUCAUGGUGAUCCGUUGCUGCUUAGAAUGGUUAUAUAUAAGUUAUUUCAUCAGGACAAUCCCAACGUUUUGCUGCUUUUUUGGAGAUUGCGAAUAACUGCUCUUGAAACUUUUAGGUUCUCUUGAUCUUAGAUUGCAGCCACUUCUCUUGCUAAUGAUUGUUUUGACUUGUUGCUGUGCAGCAUUUAUAAUCAUCUACAAGAGUUUAUCCAAAGAUUAUUUGGUCGAAGCCAUAGAUCACGACGUAUAGAUUCAAGACAUAGUAGACCACCUGCAUCUGGGACUCAAAAGGCAUUAGAAGAAAGAAGGAAAGUUCACAUUAAGUGAGGCUUAUUAUAUUUUUCUAUUACACGGAAAGGUGGGUACCUCCGACCAAGGGUGUCGAUCUGUAUUC